UCACUGACACCCCCCGCCCCUUUUCUUAAUUUGGGAAAUUUAUUGACCAACAAGGACAUAUGCUAGUAUUAGAAAAUACUUUUUGUGUCAUGGGUCCAUGGGUCCUGUUUUCCCCCGACAAUAUAUGUAUGUUCUGUUUUAUAAUUGACCUGGACAUCAGUUUUAAAAAUUAUUGGAAAAAAGUGAUGUGUAUUUUCAAAAGUAUUUUAUUUUAGUAAGCCUCUACUAAGUCGAGGUGAACUAUUGGGUAGGCAUCGGUGUCAAUGUCCGCAUCAUCCUCAUGAGCGUUCGGUUCCAUGCUCAGUUCUAGGAACUAUGGCACCUAAAAUCAUGGAACUUGGUAUGCAGGUGGAGCAGCCAGCACUAAAAAUGUUGGUUAUGUUUACGUCCAGUUGUAUCCCAUAUUAAGAUUUCGUCAACCUUGUAUAUGCAUUUCUUAUUUUUAGUGCUUGUCAAGUUAUACAGUACCC
rnacentral:lncRNA from 1 species